rnacentral:lncRNA from 1 species
UAGCAACUGUGGAUUGCUGAACUUUGCCAAAUCAUAAUUUCUGAUACAAUACUAUGCAAGGAUUAGAGAUUUCGCACAUCUUACAUAAAUAUCAGUCGCAGAAACGUCAUCCUUAGCAUUCACACUACACAUCUUACAACUGCACAAGUGUUACACAUGUUGAAAACCAAGCUGUCGCUACAGAUGGUAGGCCUUACUGCUGGCGAUGAGCAUUGCCACGGUCAGAGUAAUGCAAUGAUGGUCCUGUUGAACCAAUGAAACUGCAUUGUAAGUGAAAUCAUGCGCACAACUUGGCAAGAUGAGUAGAGCACCAAAGUUGCACCCACUUUUUUUAUUGAGAAUGACCCGCUAGACAAGUACAGUGCCAAGCAAGCCUGCAUAAACAUGGACGAUUAUUUUGUAAAGUUUCUGGCUUCAUUGAUCUGUUCUUUCUAAGCUUUCUUUACAUACUUCUAUCAGCCUGGCUCUCUUAAUAAACAAAUAAAAAAGGACAGACGAUUCAAAAAUUAAAGCAACUAUGCUCAUAUCAAGUUGAAUGGAACAGAAAGAUGGUCUAACCUUGAUAUAUCCAAAGCUUGGAUGCAAACUGAUGUGAGCUAAGCCUAGUUCUCUCCAUGAGAUUGUCAUGUCUGCUAGAACAUGUAAAUGAAUAAGGGAAGGGGCUUAAUGAAGAAUCGAGAAUAUACUGCCUCACAUUUUUCUUUGAAUGAACGCAACAACGCAGGCAAAUUACAGCCCUCCAUUACCUUUAAUUAUGAAAAGCCAUCAGUGCUGAAUGAUCUGUCAUUUUAUCUCCAAAAGAUACAUUAAAGCAACUGGCCAUAACCCGGCCAUAAUAAGAGCCUGUAAGUACCAAAGCAAUCAACCGUCUAAUAUUCUACUAGGUUGCAAAUCAAAAUGACUAGUAGGAUGCAGAAGCAAUAACAUUGCGCUGAACCUGUUUAGAUUUCGCAGCAAAGGAUGUAAAUUGCAGUGAGAAAACUCUCCUACUUAUUCAGUUAUUAAGUUUAUUAGCAUCAGAAGCAAUAGCUCAGGACAUAUAUACUUAUGAACUUUGUAAGCUCUCUUUACAGACUUCUAUUAUACUAGCUCGUUUAUAAACUGACAAAGGACAAACCUAUUAAAAAAUUAAACCAACUAUGCUCACAAUUAAUACAACGAGUGGAAGUGUAUUAGGAAAAAUGGUCUAAUAUUGAUAUCUAAAGCUUAAUCCCUCCCCAGACCCCACCUUGUGUGGGAGCUUCUAUGCACUGGGUCUGUCCUUUAUUGAUACCUAAAGCUUAAAAGCAAACUGAUUAAGCUAAGCUUAAUUCUUUCACGCAAUAGAUCAUGUGCCAAAAGCCCAGAGCAUGUAAAUGAGUCAUGUGAAAAGGGCUAAAUGUACAAUUGAGAAGAUGUUGUCCCCUUCAAUUUUCUUUGAUUAAACGCAAACAACGACAUGAGCAAAUUCAUCUUGUUCGAGGGAAUGAUAAAGCUGUUGUAGCCCUAACCUACCAGAGGACCAAGCUCAUAACCGAUGGAUUCUUAUCUAUUGACCUACCGGAUGAUGAAAGACUUCAUGUCACUGCCUACUACCCAAGCCUUUAUAAGGAGCAAGACGCAAGGAAAGGAUGAGUAGUACUAGUAUAUUUCUCAUUUUACUUGUCUACCUUGGGGGCUUGGAAUUAUGCAGUUCCAUUUUAUGAAUUAUUUGUUGUGUCUCUGUGCAGUAGGGAUACGAAUUUGAUAGGCAUAGGCAUAGAAGACACCAGGAACUACCGAUGGACCACCAGGAUCACAACCUGCAACAGGUGGACUAGCUACGGCGACCAUCAUUAUCAUCUGGUGCGACUGACCCAUAGGUCACGCUCUCUCGUGCCAUCAUGAGGAAUCAGCAAAGGGACGAAAUGGGAAUCGGAGGUUGGAUGGAAUGGGAAUUGGACAAUAUUUUGUCGAUGCAAUCAUGACUGGCAAAAGACGGCUAGAAAGUUAAACCAGACAUGUUUCCGCUUGCUGGAUAGAGAUAUCUAUGUAAAGAUCAGUAAUAGAAAUGUCUUCCAGUCAUCCUUAGAAAAUAUUUUGUCAAUCCAAUCAUGACUGGCAAAAGAUGGCUAGAAAGUUAAACCAGACAUGUUUCCGCUUGCUGGAUAGAGAUAUCUAUGUAGAGAUCAGUAAUAGAAAUGUCUUCCAGCCAUCCUUAGAAAACCACACUACAUACAUUGCUACUUCACAAGCAUUACACAGUUGAAAAAGCAAUCACCUCGUUGUUGGAGAUGGUUGCUGCUGGCACCUUGGUGAUAACGAUGACAUGGAGGGGUUCAUUUUGAUACACUAACACAAUGUAGCCUCCCUCAGUAAAAAAUAUGCACAGAUUGGCAAAAUAAGUAUAACGCCAGAACUGCACCCGCUUCAAGAAUGACAUGCUAGACAAGUACGUGUCGGGCAUAC